rnacentral:rRNA from 1 species
CCGGCGGCAGGCCGACUCGCCCGGGGGAACUUCCGCAUUGUUUGAAAANUGACGGAGCAAUCUCGCCUGAGGGAUACCGGCCUAUGCGUUGUAAACCUCUUUUUUCAGGGAGGAACAAAAGGACGUGUACCUGGAGAAUAAGCAUCGGCUAACUCCGUCCCAGCAGCCGCGGUAAGACGGAAGAUGCAAGUGUUAUCCGGAAUCACUGGGCGUAAAGCGUCUGUAGGUGGUUUAAUAAGUCAACUGUUAAAUCUUGAAGCUCAACUUCAAAAUCGCAGUCGAAACUAUUAGACUAGAGUAUAGAAAGUAAAGGGAAUUNCCAGGGAGCGUGAAAUUGUGGCUUUAAAAGAACCCCAUUGCGAAGCGGUUGGCUG